rnacentral:rRNA from 1 species
UACGGGGGGGGCAAGCGUUGUUCGGAAUUACUGGGCGUAAAGGGCUCGUAGGUGGCCAACUAAGUCAGACGUGAAAUCCCUCGGCUUAACCGGGGAACUGCGUCUGAUACUGGAUGGCUUGAGUUCGGGAGAGGGAUGCGGAAUUCCAGGUGUAGCGGUGAAAUGCGUAGAUAUCUGGAAGAACACCGGUGGCGAAGGCGGCAUCCUGGACCGACACUGACACUGAGGAGCGAAAGCCAGGGGAGCAAACGGG